GUUUCAUUCCGAUGUAACUCGAUUCAAAGUAAAAGUGUGUGUAAAAAAAAAUUAGAAAUCGGGAGAUAUGCCAUUCAGUAUCGUGUUAUCUUGAUAUUAGUACACAGCUGUGGAAUACAAAGAAAAAUUGACCACUUGCAGGGGAACACGAAACUGCAUUGAAAAUGAAAAAAAUAAAUAGAAAAGAAAAAGAUAGGCUAACAAUUUAAGAAUAAAGAAUAGUGGGCUUCUAGAAUAUAAAGAAUAGAGAAUAACGUGCAAAAUUUGUAUAGAAUAAAGAAAACAUGCAUAGCGUAAAUAAUAUUAAGAAUUAAAGAACACCCACCUCCCUCCUUUUCUAGACCCUCUUUUAUCCUAUGACUCUUAAAAGAAAGAAGCGCCGUAAUUCAUAGGAACAAAUAGAUUUGGAAUAUAUUAUUCUCUCUCAUUAAUUUAAAUUACAUG
rnacentral:lncRNA from 1 species